CAGCCGCCGCGGUAAUACGUAGGUGGCAAGCGUUGUCCGGAAUUAUUGGGCGUAAAGGGCUCGCAGGCGGUUUCUUAAGUCUGAUGUGAAAGCCCCCGGCUCAACCGGGGAGGGUCAUUGGAAACUGGGAAACUUGAGUGCAGAAGAGGAGAGUGGAAUUCCACGUGUAGCGUUGAAAUGCGUAGAGAUGUGGAGGAACACCAGUGGCGAAGGCGACUCUCUGGUCUGUAACUGACGCUGAGGAGCGAAAGCGUGGGGAGCGAACAGGAUUAGAUACCCCUGUAGUCCCUGUCUCUAUACC
rnacentral:rRNA from 1 species